ACGAAAAAAAAUAUAAUAAAAUGAGAUGAUUUUUAGUUAACCAAUGCAAAAAUGCUAGGUUGUUUCUCGACAAACGSCAACUAGAUGGUCCAUGGGUUACCACGAAGACAGGUCAUCCCAUCCAAAAAGAUGGAGUCAGCUGUGGAGUAUAUUGUCUUAAGAUUGCUGAGUGCUUAAUGAUGGAUCUACCUGUUGACUUCAACGUGAGUGACAUAGAUGACUACCGCUAUUGUAUCGCCGAAGCACUACUUAGAUAGUAGUGGCCAAAGCACUAAAAAUAGUGGUCACUAGAGAGAUUGCGGUAAAGAUAACUAAUUCACAAUCUGACGCAGUGUAACCUUUUUAAGAAAGUAGACAACUUGAUGCAGUGUCUGCUGUGGAGCUUAAUCUAUUAUCCAUAAUUCGUACAACUGCCCCAUUGUCAAGAUACCUGGUUCAGUGUCUACAGGACCUAAGCAAAAACUACACGGGCUACUCAGUUUACAAACAUUUCGAACAUUCGAACAUUGCAAUAUCUGUAUAAAAMCAACCUUGUAUUUUAAAUGUAAGAAGCUGAAGGUAAAAAAAAAACAACACGAAGUACAUGAAAGUACGCUCCUCCAAGAAUAUAUAUAAAAAAUGAAGGACCAGCGCAAGUUUAGUCAAAAAACGUUGUUUAUUACUAUAGUAAUCAAAACUCGCUAUGUUGUUGGUUGUCCAAAGGAAAAGCUAAAUAAGCUAAGAAAACUGUAGGUUUCUCCAAACUCAAGUCUUUGUAAAAGACGUUUCCAGAAAAUUCGUUUUAUGAGAGAAUCUUCCCGCCAUUUUAAUGCACAUUAAAUUAUGGCAAAAAUUCCUUAAAAACUUAUACCGGCUAACUACGUGAAUUACAAUUUUGUACAUUUGAGAUGUAAGUGACAAAACUCUCAUGUAUUUAUCUUUAUGCGAUAAAAUGCUGAAUAAUGGACGAUAAUCAGACUUAUGAUCUUCAAGAACAAAGAUGACUUUUGUAUACUGAAAGSGUAAAACGAGUUUGUUUACAAAGUAUACAAGUACGACAAUUUAUUGGCUAUAAGCAAAAAGUUAAUUUGAGGUAAAUYAACAAAUAAACGCGACGUCUUGUGUUCAGUUUUGGCCGCCAACAACUCAGGAUAACUCAACGUGCCCAAAUGAGUCCAAAUGAGACUAAGAGUUCAAUUGUAAGCCUUCUUAAUAGACCAUACGAUACUGUGGUAGUAGUAUAUUUGAAAUACUAAACUGUUAGUUCUGUGAAUAUCAAUCUUGCAUUUUAUUUGUUGUAAGGGAGUUAAAUUGAGCGAAUUAAAUUGUUGUUCUUCCACUGUACAAAAAAAAAGUCUAUUUUCAACAU